AAGAGAGUUUGAUCCUGGCUCAGGAUGAACGCUGGCGGUAUGCCUUACACAUGCAAGUUGUACGAGAAUUUUUAAUUCUAGUGGCGGACGGGUGAGUAACACGUGAGAAUUUACCUUUAGGAGGAGGACAACAGUUGGAAACGACUGCUAAUACUCCAUAUGCUUUCGAGUGAAAUAGAUUUAUCUGCCUAAUGAAAAGCUCGCGGCUGAUUAGCUUGUUGGUAAGGUAAUAGCUUACCAAGGCGACGAUCAGUAUCUGGUUUGAGAGGACGAUCAGACACACUGGAACUGAGACACGGUCCAGACUCUUACGGGAGGCAGCAGUGGGGAAUUUUCCGCAAUGGGCUAAAGCCUGACGGAGCAAUACCGCGUGAGGGAAGAAUGCCCAUGGGUUGUAAACCUCUUUUUUCAGGGAGGAAAAAAAUGACGUGUACCUGAAGAAUAAGCAUCGGCUAACUCCGUGCCAGCAGCCGCGGUAAUACGGGAGGGGCAAGCGUUAUCCGAAAUAACUGGGCGUAAAGGGUCCGUAGAUUGUGUUGUAAGUUACUUCAAAAAUACUAGAGGCCUAACCUCAGUCUGAAGUUAAUACUACUCCACUCGAGUUGAUAACAGAAGAAUAGAACUCUGUAAGAAGAGAUAAAAUUCGCAGAUAAACAGAAGAACACCUAUUUGGCGUAAGCAAUUCUUUAGUAACAACUGACGUUGAGGGACGAAAGUGUAGGUAGCAAACAGGAUUAGAUACCCUGGUAGUCUACACCGUAAAUGCUGAGUGCUCAAACUUAAAUUUUUAGGUUUCAAGCUAACGCGUUAAGCACUCCGCCUGAGGAGUACGAUCGCAGGAUUGGAACUCAAAGGAAUUGACGGGGGCCUACCACAAGUGGUGGAGCAUGUGGUUUAAUGCGAUAAUCCGCGCGAAACCUUACCAGCCUUUGUAUAAAACAAAAAAGAACUUUCUAAUUCUCCCUAAAAAAUAAAAUUUUUUCUGGAGUAAUUCUGUUUUACAGGUGUUGCACGACUGUCGUCAGCUCGUGUCGUGAGAUCGUUGGUUAAUUCCUUAAACGGGCGUAACUCUUCUUUUCAAACACUUUAACGUAAAAACACUGCUCAUUAUAAGUGAGAGGAAGAAAAGAAUCACGUCAAGUCUCUGUGGCCCUAAUAGGCUGGGCUACACAUGUGCUACAAUGGAAACUACAAUUGUAAUUUUAAAAGUUUCCUCAGUUCGGAUUGUAGACUGAAACUCGUCUACAUGAAGCCGGAAUCACUAGUAAUCGUAAAUCAGCAUGUUACGGUGAAUAUGUAAAUUGGCCUUGUACACACCGCCCGUCACAUGCAGGAAGUUUAUUUCGCUUGAAGCGUAGAAAAUAACUUUAUUAGAUAUAAAAAAAAAUUCGCGCCAUUGAGAAAAAAGUAACUUGGAUGAAGUCGUAACAAGGUAGCUGUACGG
rnacentral:rRNA from 1 species